GAAAGGAGCGGGGGAGUGUUUCAGUUGGAAUUGUUUUUAGCCAUCAUGCUUCUGCUGUUCCUCUGUCGAAGGAAAGUAAGGAGGGAGGACCCACAGUGACAUCACAAGGAAAUCAUUUUUUAAAAGAUAAGCAGUCCAUAUUGAAAUCACUGAGAAAGGGGAAGAGAUUUUUCAUUGACGCUGCAAGAAGUACAUAAUCAAGCUACAGUAUGGGUUUUUGUCUUAAGUGCCUGUUGCUGGCACUGUCAGUCGGAUUAAAUUGCCAAGUGUUUUCAGAGGGAAAAUGCAAAGGACAAUGCAUUAAAGCAGCAAGCUGUACGUCUACUAGCAGUGACGGCGAGUAUGGGAGUAAACUAGCUGAAUUAAAACAACACACUCCAAUUAUUACAGUUGGACCAUCACACAAUUCAAGUAUCCUUCUCUGUGUAGGAAAGUUUCAAAUAAUUAAGCAGAAAAAGAACAUGUAUCGUUGUGUUCUGAAGAAGGUUUUUGAAUUUUAUACAGCAGUUCUUAAAAUAUAUUCAAACCCAGAUGCAAUAGAAAUCAUUGACAGGAUGAACAAGAGCCUUAAAUGCACAAAUUGUGAAAGGUUACUGAAAAAGUACAGAAAGCUUCCACAAAGAUACAAGACUGCCGAGAACUGUACGGAUGAAAUAUUAGCUUGUGAUGCAGCAAUACUACAGGUUAAAAAACUUGAUGAUGCAAUGAAACAGGUCAACAACACUGAGAUCCAAGAAAGGGCCAUAUCUGAACUUGAUCGUCUUUCAGGAUGUCUUGCUCGACCCAAAAAAAGAGGUUAAUUAAAAAUAAUAGUUUGAGAUCUACUGACCUUUAUGAAUCACACUGUUUUUAUUUAUUUUGUAUUCUUUGGAACUGGAAAUGAACAGAAGUCAUUUUAUUUAUUAUAACAUGGUUAUAAAAUCACAUUGCACUGUUGUGGAAGAAAACAUAAAAUGCAGAGGAAUGACACCAGGAGGUAUGGUCCUAAAUAACAGACCACUCCCAGAGCUGUAUCCAACAUCGAUAAGGGUUACUGCAAUAACGGCUUGCAUUUAAUUGUCCAUCAUUUGUCUUGAGAUAACUUUAAACACAGAAUAAAUGAUAUAUUUUUAUAGGAAUUGCUCUUGACAGAUACAGUGGUUUGCGAAAGUAUUGACCCCCCUUGGCAUUUUUCCUAUAUUGUUGCCUUACAACCUGGAAUUAAAA